AAUGAAACUAUGAGUAUAAUAAGGACACAAACAUAAAGAGAAAUGAAAAUGCUAAAAGAAAGUAAAAAUAGCUAAAAGAAAUAAAACACCAAGGAAAUGCCACACAUGAGUAUUGAACCCACCCAACUCAAGACUAUGAUACUACCCUUCUCCACCAGGCCACCCAUGGUUAUUUAAUAUUGUGAUGCUACUUUAAAUAUAUAAACCGGGAUAAAAUAAAAAAAGAAAUGAAAUAAAGAAACUAAUAAAAAAUAGAACCUGUUGGACUAUCCUAAUAAAUCCCAACCGCUUGGCAGUUGGUUUUUAGAGGCUAAUGAGAUUGGGAAUACUAAAAUACUAUACUAAUACACUAGUAAAUGAAAACUUUAAUAAAUGAAAAACCUAGGAAGUUUAAACGUAAGAAAAAAAACUAAUGGUUUC
rnacentral:lncRNA from 1 species